rnacentral:rRNA from 1 species
GACGAACGCUGGCGGCGUGCCUAAUACAUGCAAGUCGAACGCUUUUUCUUUCACCGGAGCUUGCUCCACCGAAAGAAAAAGAGUGGCGAACGGGUGAGUAACACGUGGGUAACCUGCCCAUCAGAAGGGGAUAACACUUGGAAACAGGUGCUAAUACCGUAUAACACUAUUUUCCGCAUGGCAGAAAGUUGAAGGGCGCUUUUGCGUCACCGAUGGAUGGACCCGCGGUGCAUUAGCUAGUUGGUGAGGUAACGGCUCACCAAGGCAACGAUGCAUAGCCGACCUGAGGGGGUGAUCGGCCACACUGGGACUGAGACACGGCCCAGACUCCUACGGGAGGCAGCAGUAGGGAAUCUUCGGCAAUGGACGAAAGUCUGACCGAGCAACGCCGCGUGAGUGAAGAAGGUUUUCGGAUCGUAAAACUCUGUUGUUAGAGAAGAACAAGGAUGAGAGUAAAAUGUUCAUCCCUUGACGGUAUCUAACCAGAAAGCCACGGCUAACUACGUGCCAGCCGCCGCCGUAA